UACGGAGGGGGCGAGCGUUAUUCGGAAUCAUUGGGCGUAAAGGGCGCGUAGGCGGCCCGUAAAGUCAGGGGUGAAAUCCCUCGGCUCAACCGAGUAAUUGCCUCUGAAACUGGCAGGCUCGAGGCCGGGAGAGGGUGGUGGAAUUCCCAGUGUAGCGGUGAAAUGCGUAGAUACUGGGAGGAACACCAGUGGCGAAGGCGGCCACCUGGACCGGUUCUGACGCUGGGGCGCGAUAGCGUGGGGAGCAAACAGG
rnacentral:rRNA from 1 species